rnacentral:rRNA from 1 species
UACGUAGGGUGCGAGCGUUAAUCGGAAUUACUGGGCGUAAAGCGUGCGCAGGCGGUUCUCCAAGUCCGUUGUGAAAGCCCCGGGCUCAACCUGGGAAUGGCAGUGGAAACUAGGGGACUUGAAUCUGGCAGAGGGGGGUGGAAUUCCACGUGUAGCAGUGAAAUGCGUAGAGAUGUGGAGGAACACCGAUGGCGAAGGCGGCAUCCUGGACCGACACUGACGCUGAGGCGCGAAAGCUAGGGUAGCAAACGGG